UACAUUCAAAAACUAAGCUCUAGCACAAUAAAAUUAGACAGUACUUUAAGCGGAUAGUUUGGGUUUAACGUUUUGCUGGUUGUUGAAUCA